rnacentral:rRNA from 1 species
UACAGAGGGUGCUAGCGUUGUUCGGAAUCAUUGGGCGUAAAGGGCGUGUAGGCGGUUUGCUAAGUCAUGUGUGAAAUCCCUCGGCUUAACCGGGGAACUGCGUCUGAUACUGGAUGGCUUGAGUUUGGGAGAGGGACGCGGAAUUCCAGGUGUAGCGGUGAAAUGCGUAGAUAUCUGGAGGAACACCGGUGGCGAAGGCGGCGUCCUGGACCAACACUGACACUGAUGAGCGAAAGCCAGGGGAGCAAACGGG